CCCUUAGAUGUUCGGGGCCGCACGCGCGCUACACUGAAGGACUCAGCGUGUCUCUCCCCCUAUCCCGAAAGGGAUGGGCAACCCGUUGAACCUCCUUCGUGCUAGGGAUUGGGGUUUGCAAUUAUCCCCCAUGAACGAGGAAUUCCCAGUAAGCGCGAGUCAUCAGCUCGCGUUGAUUACGUCCCUGCCCUUUGUACACACCGCCCGUCGCUACUACCGAUUGGAUGCUCAGGUGAGCCAUUCGGACUUUCAUCAUGCUGGUUUCCAGUUUUGAUGAAGGAAAGUCUUGCGAACCUUAUCAUUUAGAGGAAGGAGAAGUCGUAACA
rnacentral:rRNA from 1 species